GACGAACGCUGGCGGCGUGCUUAACACAUGCAAGUCGAACGGAAAGGCCCUGCUUUUGUGGGGUGCUCGAGUGGCGAACGGGUGAGUAACACGUGAGUAACCUGCCCUUGACUUUGGGAUAACUUCAGGAAACUGGGGCUAAUACCGGAUAGGAGCUCCUGCUGCAUGGUGGGGGUUGGAAAGUUUCGGCGGUUGGGGAUGGACUCGCGGCUUAUCAGCUUGUUGGUGGGGUAGUGGCUUACCAAGGCUUUGACGGGUAGCCGGCCUGAGAGGGUGACCGGCCACAUUGGGACUGAGAUACGGCCCAGACUCCUACGGGAGGCAGCAGUGGGGAAUCUUGCGCAAUGGGCGGAAGCCUGAUGCAGCAACGCCGCGUGCGGGAUGACGGCCUACGGGUUGUGAACCGCUUUCGCCUGUGACGAAGCGUGAGUGACGGUAAUGGGUAAAGAAGCACCGGCUAACUACGUG
rnacentral:rRNA from 1 species